AAAUUGAAGAGUUUGAUCAUGGCUCAGAUUGAACGCUGGCGGCAGGCCUAACACAUGCAAGUCGAACGGUAACAGGAAGAAGCUUGCUUCUUUGCUGACGAGUGGCGGACGGGUGAGUAAUGUCUGGGAAACUGCCUGAUGGAGGGGGAUAACUAUUGGAAACGGUAGCUAAUACCGCAUAACGUCGCAAGACCAAAGAGGGGGACCUUCGGGCCUCUUGCCAUCGGAUGUGCCCAGAUGGGAUUAGCUUGUUGGUGGGGUAACGGCUCACCAAGGCGACGAUCCCUAGCUGGUCUGAGAGGAUGACCAGCCACACUGGAACUGAGACACGGUCCAGACUCCUACGGGAGGCAGCAGUGGGGAAUAUUGCACAAUGGGCGCAAGCCUGAUGCAGCCAUGCCGCGUGUAUGAAGAAGGCCUUCGGGUUGUAAAGUACUUUCAGCGGGGAGGAAGGGAGUAAAGUUAAUACCUUUGCUCAUUGACGUUACCCGCAGAAGAAGCACCGGCUAACUCCGUGCCAGCAGCCGCGGUAAUACGGAGGGUGCAAGCGUUAAUCGGAAUUACUGGGCGUAAAGCGCACGCAGGCGGUUUGUUAAGUCAGAUGUGAAAUCCCCGGGCUCAACCUGGGAACUGCAUCUGAUACUGGCAAGCUUGAGUCUCGUAGAGGGGGGUAGAAUUCCAGGUGUAGCGGUGAAAUGCGUAGAGAUCUGGAGGAAUACCGGUGGCGAAGGCGGCCCCCUGGACGAAGACUGACGCUCAGGUGCGAAAGCGUGGGGAGCAAACAGGAUUAGAUACCCUGGUAGUCCACGCCGUAAACGAUGUCGACUUGGAGGUUGUGCCCUUGAGGCGUGGCUUCCGGAGCUAACGCGUUAAGUCGACCGCCUGGGGAGUACGGCCGCAAGGUUAAAACUCAAAUGAAUUGACGGGGGCCCGCACAAGCGGUGGAGCAUGUGGUUUAAUUCGAUGCAACGCGAAGAACCUUACCUGGUCUUGACAUCCACGGAAGUUUUCAGAGAUGAGAAUGUGCCUUCGGGAACCGUGAGACAGGUGCUGCAUGGCUGUCGUCAGCUCGUGUUGUGAAAUGUUGGGUUAAGUCCCGCAACGAGCGCAACCCUUAUCCUUUGUUGCCAGCGGUCCGGCCGGGAACUCAAAGGAGACUGCCAGUGAUAAACUGGAGGAAGGUGGGGAUGACGUCAAGUCAUCAUGGCCCUUACGACCAGGGCUACACACGUGCUACAAUGGCGCAUACAAAGAGAAGCGACCUCGCGAGAGCAAGCGGACCUCAUAAAGUGCGUCGUAGUCCGGAUUGGAGUCUGCAACUCGACUCCAUGAAGUCGGAAUCGCUAGUAAUCGUGGAUCAGAAUGCCACGGUGAAUACGUUCCCGGGCCUUGUACACACCGCCCGUCACACCAUGGGAGUGGGUUGCAAAAGAAGUAGGUAGCUUAACCUUCGGGAGGGCGCUUACCACUUUGUGAUUCAUGACUGGGGUGAAGUCGUAACAAGGUAACCGUAGGGGAACCUGCGGUUGGAUCACCUCCUU
rnacentral:rRNA from 1 species